rnacentral:rRNA from 1 species
UACGUAGGUGGCAAGCGUUGUCCGGAUUUACUGGGCGUAAAGGGCGUGCAGGCGGUUUGUUAAGUGCAGCGUGAAAGCUCCCGGCUCAACUGGGAGAGGUCUUUGCAUACUGGCAAACUCGAGGGAGGCAGAGGAAAGUGGAAUUCCCGGUGUAGUGGUGAUAUGCGUAGAUAUCGGGAGGAACACCUGUGGCGAAGGCGGCUUUCUGGGCCUUACCUGACGCUGAGACGCGAAAGCGUGGGGAGCAAACAGG